GUGGGGAACAGAGUGUAUCCUUCUGAAACACACACGUGACCCUGCUGGCCCCCGCACACCAAGCAUAUCUUGCUUUGUGAUCCAAGGAAGCUCACAGAGUCUAGAAAACCCACUGAGAGAAAAAUAUCUUCAAAGAAAAGUCAGUUCUCAGAAGAAUGUUAAAGAGUGAAGACUGGUGUUUAUCAUUCUACCCUCUACCUCCAUGAGAACAACGCUUAUAGCUCCUGAAUCCCUGCCUUCGGAACUUCUCUCCUUGGCUUGUGAGUGGUCCCGGAGUAUGGGAGAGACUUCAUGCCCAGGAGGACAUUUUUUUCUACAAGAGCGUGACACAGGUCAAAUCAACGUACAAACUCCAUGCGUGAACAUAUGAAUUUGCCUGUAACUUCUGCCUCUCCGCCUUUGCAAACCCUCACCUGCGAGCCAUCAGGGAAUCUGGAUCUGGAUCGUGAUCUUCCUGAUUCUCCG